AGGUGGGGACGACGUCAAGUCAUCAUGGCCCUUACGAGUAGGGCUACACACGUGCUACAAUGGCGCAUACAGAGGGCGGCCAACUUGCGAAAGUGAGCGAAUCCCAAAAAGUGCGUCGUAGUCCGGAUUGGAGUCUGCAACUCGACUCCAUGAAGUCGGAAUCGCUAGUAAUCGUGGAUCAGAAUGCCACGGUGAAUACGUUCCCGGGCCUUGUACACACCGCCCGUCACACCAUGGGAGUGGGCUGCAAAAGAAGUGGGUAGUUUAACCUUCGGGAGGACGCUCACCACUUUGUGGUUCAUGACUGGGGUGAAGUCGUAACAAGGUAGCGCUAGGGGAACCUGGCGCUGGAUCACCUCCUUA
rnacentral:rRNA from 1 species